rnacentral:rRNA from 1 species
GACGAACGCUGGCGGCGUGCUUAACACAUGCAAGUCGAACGAUGAAGCCCAGCUUGCUGGGUGGAAGAGUGGCGAACGGGUGAGUAACACGUGAGUAACCUGCCUAUCACUCUGGGAUAAGCGCUGGAAACGGCGUCUAAUACUGGAUACGACCUAUCACCGCAUGGUGUGUGGGUGGAAAGAUUUAUCGGUGGUAGAUGGACUCGCGGCCUAUCAGCUUGUUGGUGAGGUAAUGGCUCACCAAGGCGACGACGGGUAGCCGGCCUGAGAGGGUGACCGGCCACACUGGGACUGAGACACGGCCCAGACUCCUACGGGAGGCAGCAGUGGGGAAUAUUGCACAAUGGGCGCAAGCCUGAUGCAGCAACGCCGCGUGAGGGACGACGGCCUUCGGGUUGUAAACCUCUUUUAGUAGGGAAGAAGCGUAAGUGACGGUACCUGCAGAAAAAGCACCGGCUAACUACGUGCCAGCAGCCGCCGCGG